AUUUGUUCCAGUUUUUUCAGUGAAAAUUUUCAGGUGAAGAAAUGCUUUCUGUGAAGAGCUAUGGAAACAGAAAGAAAAAUGAUGACAUGGUCUUGCUCUGU